rnacentral:rRNA from 1 species
AUUGAACGCUAGCGGCAGGCUUAAUACAUGCAAGUCGUGGGGCAGCAGGACUGUAGCAAUACAGUUGCUGGCGACCGGCAAACGGGUGCGGAACACGUACGCAAUCUACCCAAAACUGGUGAAUAGCCCUCCGAAAGGAGGAUUAAUACACCGUAACCUAUUGGAGUGGCAUCACUUUAUUAGUAUAGCUCCGGCGGUUUUGGAUGAGCGUGCGGCUGAUUAGGUAGUUGGCGGGGUAACGGCCCACCAAGCCUGCGAUCAGUAACUGGUGUGAGAGCACGACCAGUCACACGGGCACUGAGACACGGGCCCGACUCCUACGGGAGGCAGCAGUAAGGAAUAUUGGUCAAUGGACGCAAGUCUGAACCAGCCAUGCCGCGUGGAGGAUGAAGGCCCUCUGGGUUGUAAACUUCUUUUAUCUGGGACGAAACCCUCAUAUUCUUAUGAGACUGACGGUACCAGAGGAAUAAGCACCGGCUAACUCCGUGCCAGCAGCCGCAGUAACAC